UCUCUGGAUAAAAUAGCUAACGUUAGCAUUAAAGUUAGUGAGUUCAUGCUAACGUACAAACCUGAUAGCGAACUGUCCUGACGUCAUGGACCGUGCAGUGAAAGUCAAAAACACAUAAACGAAGGUCUAUAAGAGAGUGUCUCUCCAUAUUAAUCUGGUUUAAUGUAAAUUACUUUAAUCUUACUCUGCGGUACAUGAACGGUGUUGAUGUACUGUAGUGUGGUUGCUAUAUUUUUCUUCAUUUUCUAUUUUCCACAUGUUCCAUCUGCACAGGUGUUGUCCUUCAGUAUUUGCUCUGUGUGUGAGGCUGAAUCUUCUGUCGGGGGAGACGUCUGUGACUGGUUACAGCUCAUCUGAGGAGAUACUGUUGAAGGUCGAGAUCCUCGGACAGCCUUUAUCAGGAGAAGAGACUGUCUGUCUGUCUUUCUCACUGCAGAGCUUCUACUUCUCACUCUCGGUCUCACAUUUAACAACAGAUUUAGCAUGUUUACAUGACAGUGGUAUUUCAAUAUCUGCUUCUUUAUCAGCAGAGCUCUGUUGUUUUAGAUCAGUAACAGUUAUGGGUUCUCAGAUGAGGAACCGUGAACAAAGAGUCAUCAAAGCUCUCGGACGCAGACGCAGCGAGUCUUUUGAGCACCGUCUUAACACAUUUGGUGGAAGAUUGAGACUGAGUUUAUUAAAGAGGACAGAGAGAAGAUGAGAGAUCCAGAGCCCUGCAGAAUCAAACACACUCAAGAACUAACAGAGCUGAUGGAAGAGAGCGAGGAGAGUGAAGAACUGAGUGAAGUGGAGGAGAAACAUCAUGCCAAACCUAGAGAUAAACCUCUGAGUCGCUCAAAGACUAAAAAUACAUUUUUAAAGAAAAGAAGAGCCAAG